GUCUAUGGCCAUGUCACCCCGAACAAGCCCAAUCCGGUCUGAUCUCGGAAGCUAAGUAGGCCCAGGCCUGGUUAGUACUUGGAUGAGAGACCACCUAGGAAGAUCAGGUGCUGUAGGCG
rnacentral:rRNA from 1 species